rnacentral:rRNA from 1 species
UACAGAGGUCUCAAGCGUUGUUCGGAUUCAUUGGGCGUAAAGGGUGUGUAGGUGGCGCCGUAAGUCGGGUGUGAAAUUUCGGAGCUUAACUCCGAAACUGCAUUCGAUACUGCGGUGCUUGAGGACUGGAGAGGAGACUGGAAUUCAUGGUGUAGCAGUGAAAUGCGUAGAGAUCAUGAGGAAGACCAGUGGCGAAGGCGGGUCUCUGGACAGUUCCUGACACUGAGACACGAAGGCCAGGGGGAGCAAACGGG